rfam:Cricetulus griseus cell line CHO-K1, whole genome shotgun sequence.
GUGGAGAUGGCUCAGUGGUUAAGAGCACUGGCUGCUCUUCCAGAGGACCUGGAUUCAAUUCCCAGCACCCACA